rfam:Cavia porcellus supercont2_108 genomic scaffold, whole genome shotgun sequence.
ACAAAGGCUCUUUUCAGAGCCACCAACUGAUCUUUCAAAAAGGGU